UCCGCCAUAGCUCAGUUGGUAGUAGCGCAUGACUGUUAAUCAUGAUGUCGUAGGUUCGAGUCCUAUUGGCGGAG
rnacentral:tRNA from 1 species